GUUGUUUUAGUCAUCUUAAUUCGUUUUUGACAUUUGUCUGGCUAACAUAGUGCUAAAAUUCCGAUUUUUUAAUUUUUUCACAAUUUUCAUCGAUUUUUUGUUAAAAUUAAUGUUUUUAGCCCAAAAAUGGGGAUUUCCGAUCGUACGAUUUUUCUAGACUUUUAAUAUAUGAUUGCGUCAUGCUUUGGUAUUACAAAACUGUUGAAACCAUUUCUGUUGCAAUUUGUUUAGAUUUAUGCAUUAUUUGCCGUAGACAGACUAGACUACCAGCUUGGUAUUUAGGGAUUGAGAUGUCUUAUAUAUGUUUUUU
rnacentral:lncRNA from 1 species